CUAUAUAUGAAAGAAUGGAAUAAAUUAUGAAAAUGCUCUGCUUUGCAUUUUGACCUAGAUGUAAAGCUCACUCACCCGGACAUGCACUUUUUCCCUAGUGAUUCUCAAUUUGCAAAUCCAAACAGGUGAAAACUGAGAUCAAGCUAGAGAAGAGAAGGAAGGUCUUGACCAGAGAAUGGAAGAACUGUUGCAGCACAGAAAUUGCUGAUCAGAAUGUGUUGAAGGGUCUUGAGAAGAGGAUAGAAGAGCUCUAUGUUAGGUAACACAGGGUAAAUAAAGCUUGGUUAAAAUUUCUGCUUUCAAGACGUCCGUUUGAAUGGGAUUAUCAUACUAUUGACUAUUGAGCAUGACCUAUUGCUAUCUU